CGGAAACGAGUUAACUGACCCUUCGGGUGACGUUAACGGCGUCGAGCGGCGGACGGGUGAGUAAUGCCUGGGAAAUUGCCCUGAUGUGGGGGAUAACCAUUGGAAACGAUGGCUAAUACCGCAUAAUGCCUUCGGGCCAAAGAGGGGGACCUUCGGGCCUCUCGCGUCAGGAUAUGCCCAGGUGGGAUUAGCUAGUUGGUGAGGUAAUGGCUCACCAAGGCGACGAUCCCUAGCUGGUCUGAGAGGAUGAUCAGCCACACUGGAACUGAGACACGGUCCAGACUCCUACGGGAGGCAGCAGUGGGGAAUAUUGCACAAUGGGCGCAAGCCUGAUGCAGCCAUGCCGCGUGUGUGAAGAAGGCCUUCGGGUUGUAAAGCACUUUCAGCAGUGAGGAAGGCGGGUACGUUAAUAGCGUGCUCGUUUGACGUUAGCUGCAGAAGAAGCACCGGCUAACUCCGUGCCAGCAGCCGCGGUAAUACGGAGGGUGCGAGCGUUAAUCGGAAUUACUGGGCGUAAAGCGCAUGCAGGUGGUUCGUUAAGUCAGAUGUGAAAGCCCGGGGCUCAACCUCGGAACUGCAUUUGAAACUGGCGGACUAGAGUACUGUAGAGGGGGGUAGAAUUUCAGGUGUAGCGGUGAAAUGCGUAGAGAUCUGAAGGAAUACCGGUGGCGAAGGCGGCCCCCUGGA
rnacentral:rRNA from 1 species